AUUGAACGCUGGCGGCAGGCCUAACACAUGCAAGUCGAACGAGUGGCGGACGGGUGAGUAAUGUCUGGGAAACUGCCUGAUGGAGGGGGAUAACUACUGGAAACGGUAGCUAAUACCGCAUACCAUCGGAUGUGCCCAGAUGGGAUGAGCUAGUAGGUGGGGUAAAGGCUCACCUAGGCGACGAUCCCUAGCUGGUCUGAGAGGAUGACCAGCCACACGGGAACUGAGACACGGUCCGUACUCCGACGGGAGGCAGCAGUGGGGAAUAUUGCACAAUGGGCGCAAGCCUGAUGCAGCCAGGCCGCGGGUAUGAAGAAGGCCUUAGGGUUGUAAAGUACUUUCAGCGGGGAGGCGUGACCAGCAGAAGAAGAACCGGCGAACUCCGUGCCAGCAGCCGCGGUAAUAC
rnacentral:rRNA from 1 species